AAACUAUGAUUUGGAGAUUUCUGCAAAUAUUCCUUGAAUCUCUACCAAGCUUCUAAUAGUUGUUCCCCCGAAAGUUGUUUGAAAUCAUAUAUCUUGUCACGAAUUUC